UGGGGAAUUUUCCGCAAUGGGCGAAAGCCUGACGGAGCAACGCCGCGUGAGGGACGAAGGCCUCUGGGCUGUAAACCUCUUUUCUCAAGGAAGAAGAUAUGACGGUACUUGAGGAAUAAGCCACGGCUAAUUCCGUGCCAGCAGCCGCGGUAAUACGGGAGUGGCAAGCGUUAUCCGGAAUUAUUGGGCGUAAAGCGUCCGCAGGCGGCUUUUCAAGUCUGCUGUUAAAGCGUGGAGCUUAACUCCAUCAUGGCAGUGGAAACUGAAAGGCUUGAGUAUGGUAGGGGCAGAGGGAAUUCCCGGUGUAGCGGUGAAAUGCGUAGAUAUCGGGAAGAACGCCAGUGGCGAAGGCGCUUUGCUGGGCCAUUACUGACGCUCAUGGACGAAAGCCAGGGGAGCGAAAGGGAUUAGAUACCCCUGUAGUCA
rnacentral:rRNA from 1 species